rnacentral:rRNA from 1 species
GAUCAAGCGAAUAAGUGCAUGUGGUGGAUGCCUUGGCGAUUACAGGCGAUGAAGGACGUGCAAGCCUGCGAAAAGCUCUGGGGAGCUGGCAAUGAAGCUUUGAUCCAGAGAUGUCCGAAUGGGGAAACCCACUCCGUAAGGAGUAUCCCUAGCUGAAUACAUAGGCUAGUGGAAGCGAACCCGGUGAACUGAAACAUCUAAGUAGCCGGAGGAAAAGAAAUCAACCGAGAUUCCCAAAGUAGUGGCGAGCGAAAUGGGACCAGCCUGCAAGUGAUAAUGAUUGUGUUAGCGGAAGCUUCUGGAAAGUUGCGCCGUAGUGGGUGAUAGCCCCGUACGCGAAAACAUAGUCAUGGUACUGAGCUUGCGAAAAGUAGGGCGGGGCACGUGAAACCCUGUCUGAACAUGGGGGGACCAUCCUCCAAGGCUAAAUACUCGUAAUCGACCGAUAGUGAACCAGUACCGUGAGGGAAAGGCGAAAAGAACCCCGGGAGGGGAGUGAAAUAGAUCCUGAAACCGCAUGCAUACAAACAGUGGGAGCCCCUUCGUGGGGUGACUGCGUACCUUUUGUAUAAUGGGUCAGCGACUUACGUUCAGUAGCGAGCUUAACCGAAUAGGGGAGGCGUAGGGAAACCGAGUCUGAUAAGGGCGCCUAGUUGCUGGACGUAGACCCGAAACCAAGUGAUCUAUCCAUGGCCAGGAUGAAGGUGCGGUAACACGCACUGGAGGUCCGAACCCACUAAUGUUGAAAAAUUAGGGGAUGAGCUGUGGAUAGGGGUGAAAGGCUAAACAAACUUGGAAAUAGCUGGUUCUCUCCGAAAACUAUUUAGGUAGUGCCUCAAGUAUCACCGACGGGGGUAAAGCACUGUUAUGGCUAGGGGGUCAUCGCGACUUACCAAACCAUUGCAAACUCAGAAUACCGUUGAGUGCGAGCUUGGGAGACAGACAUCGGGUGCUAACGUCCGGUGUCAAGAGGGAAACAACCCAGACCGCCGAUUAAGGUCCCGAAGACAUAGUUAAGUGGGAAACGAGGUGGGAAGGCUUAGACAGCCAGGAGGUUGGCUUAGAAGCAGCCAUCCUUUAAAGAAAGCGUAAUAGCUCACUGGUCGAGUCGUCCUGCGCGGAAGAUGUAACGGGGCUCAAACUAUGCACCGAAAUCGCGGAUAUCCGCAAGGAUAUGGUAGGAGAGCGUUCUGUAAGCCGAUGAAGGUGUCUUGAGAAGGAUGCUGGAGGUAUCAGAAGUGCGAAUGCUGACAUGAGUAGCGAUAAAGGGAGUGAAAAGCUCCCUCGCCGAAAGCCCAAGGUUUCCUGCGCAACGUUCAUCGGCGCAGGGUGAGUCGGCCCCUAAGGCGAGGCUGAAAAGCGUAGUCGAUGGGAAACAGGUCAAUAUUCCUGUACCUCUUGGUAAUGCGAUGGGGGGACGGAGAAGGUUAGGUCAGCCGGGUGUUGGACGUCCCGGUUCAAGCGUGUAGGCAGACCUCUUAGGCAAAUCCGGGGGGUUAAUGCUGAGGCGUGAUAACGAGUGGUCUUGUACCGCGAAGUGAUUGAUACCAUGCUUCCAAGAAAAGCCUUUA